rnacentral:rRNA from 1 species
AAUCAACGCUGGCGGCGUGCCUCAGACAUGCAAGUCGAACGAUUAAAGCUCCCUUCGGGGAGUGUAUAGAGUGGCGCACGGGUGAGUAACACGUAAGUAAUCUACCUUUGAGUGGGGAAUAACCCGGGGAAACCCGAGCUAAUACCGCAUAACGCAGCGGCAUCGCAAGAUGACAGUUGUUAAAGGAGCAAUCCGCUUAAAGAGGAGCUUGCGGCAGAUUAGCAGUUGGUAAGGUAAUGGCUUACCAAGGCUACGAUCUGUAUCCGGUCUAAGAGGACGGUCGGACACACUGACACUGAAUAACGGGUCAGACUCCUACGGGAGGCAGCAGUCGGGAAUUUUGGGCAAUGGGCGAAAGCCUGACGCAGCGACGCCGCGUGAGGGAUGACGGCCU